AUUGAACGCUGGCGGAAUGCUUUACACAUGCAAGUCGAACGGCAGCACGGGGGCAACCCUGGUGGCGAGUGGCGAACGGGUGAGUAAUACAUCGGAACGUGCCCGGUCGGGGGGGAUAACGUAGCGAAAGUUACGCUAAUACCGCAUACGAUCUGAGGAUGAAAGCGGGGGACCUUCGGGCCUCGCGCGAUCGGAGCGGCCGAUGUCAGAUUAGGUAGUUGGUGGGGUAAAGGCCUACCAAGCCGACGAUCUGUAGCUGGUCUGAGAGGACGACCAGCCACGCUGGGACUGAGCCACGGCCCAGACUCCUACGGGAGGCAGCAGUGGGGAAUUUUGGACAAUGGGCGCAAGCCUGAUCCAGCCAUUCCGCGUGCAGGACGAAGGCCUUCGGGUUGUAAACUGCUUUUGUAUGGAACGAAAAGGCUCUGGCUAAUACCUGGGGCUCAUGACGGUACCGUAAGAAUAAGCACCGGCUAACUACGUG
rnacentral:rRNA from 1 species